UCAGUUGUGACCAGGUCAAGCAUGGACAUGGGGUUCUCCACUCGGUUCCUAGUUUUCCUGCUGCUCUGGUUCCCAGGUGGCAGAUGUGACAUUCGAAUGACACAAACACCAUCAUCCCUAUCUGCAUCUCUGGGAGACAGAGUCACCAUCACUUGCAAGGCUAGUGAGGACGUUGAUACUGGAUUAUCGUGGUACCAGCAGAAAUCAGGGACAGCUCCUAAACUCCUCAUCUAUGAGGCAAGCUACUUAGAAGAUGGGAUCUCAUCUAGGUUCAGUGGCAGUGGGUCUGGCACACAGUUUUCUCUCACAAUCAGCAGUCUGGAGGCAGAAGAUACUGCUAUUUAUUACUGUCAGCAAGGUUAUGAUACUCCUCCCACAGUGAUACAUGUCAUGUCAUAA